rnacentral:rRNA from 1 species
GACGAACGCUGGCGGCGUGCUUAACACAUGCAAGUCGAACGGAAAGGCCCUGCUUGCAGGGUACUCGAGUGGCGAACGGGUGAGUAACACGUGGGUGAUCUGCCCUGCACUUCGGGAUAAGCCUGGGAAACUGGGUCUAAUACCGGAUAGGAGCCAUUUUUAGUGUGAUGGUUGGAAAGUUUUUUCGGUGUAGGAUGAGCUCGCGGCCUAUCAGCUUGUUGGUGGGGUAAUGGCCUACCAAGGCGGCGACGGGUAGCCGGCCUGAGAGGGUGGACGGCCACAGUGGGACUGAGAUACGGCCCAGACUCCUACGGGAGGCAGCAGUGGGGAAGAUUGCACAAUGGGCGCAAGCCUGAUGCAGCGACGCCGCGUGGGGGAGGACGGCCUUCGGGUUGUAAACUCCUUUCGCUAGGGACGAAGCUUUUUGUGACGGUACCUAGAUAAGAAGCACCGGCUAACUACGUG